CAAAUCCAACUUCCAAAUGGCCUAUACUCUGACCACUUAAAGCGUGACUCUCGUAGCAUACUCGUAGCAUACAUUUAGUAUGAUACGAAGGUCGUGCUCAAACU